rnacentral:rRNA from 1 species
AUGGCAUUUGUGGAGGGUGAGAACUUUCUCAGCUGGGUAUGGUUCUUCCGGCAAGUGAAAAUUGCCAUUGUGAAGGACCGACCAAACGUGUGUGUCAUUCAUGACAGACAUGCUGGUAUAUUGAAGGCCGUGAAGACACUUCGUAAUCCAACAGAUGACGAACGAACACCUUGGAGGGACUUGCAGAGCCGGUGGUGCAUGCGCCAUCUUGGGGCUAAUUUUUUCUCACAGUUCAAGAACAAGCGGUUGAUGAACUUGUUCAAAAAAUUAUGCAAGCAGAGCCAGCAGCGCAAAUACGAAUUUAUUUGGUCAAAACUAGAUGAGUUUACUAAGAAGCAGGUCCGUGCGAGGAAGAAAAUGGAAGAAGAUCAAGUUAAAUUAGCAGCACUCAUCGCGGAGCUAGAGGAGCCAGUAGGUCUUUGUGACUUGCCAGGAAUUGACCCUCCUAAUACUACGAGAAAGAAGGGAAGGGCAAUAAAGAAUUUUUCUGAGUGGAUAGAGAAAGAGCCUCCAGUGAAUUGGUCUUUGCUGCAUGACACACAUGGAGCUAGGUAUGGCCACAUGACAACCAAUCUUGCAGAGGUGUAUAACUUUGUGCUGAGAGGGAACAGAGCAUUGCCACUCACAGCUAUUGUGGAGGCUGUAUUCCAUGGCACUUUGAGAUAUUUCAGAGAAAGGCACGAGUUAGUACAGAAGCAUAUUGAAGAUAAUCAGAACACACCUUAUUGUAGCCGUGUCAUGGAAUACAUGGCAAAGAAGAUAGAGAAAGCAAAGAAGCACACUGUCAGACUCAUAGGGAAUCAAGAAAGGAGGUAUGAGGUUCAGCUUCCUACCGAUGGUUUUGGUUCUGGAAAUGAGGUGAAGACACACGAGGUAAAAAUUGGAACGGAAUUUUAUCCAACGUGUGAGUGUACAUGCAACAAACCGAAGUUGUUGCACCUACCUUGCUCUCAUGUGUUGGCUGCCUGUGGGCAGAUUGAGUUGGAUGCUAUCUCCUUCGUGUCCCCAUACUAUUUAAAAGAGGCAGUGCUCAACACCUGGACAGGCGAGAUGACAGGGUUUAGAGUCGUCGGCAAUUUCAACAAGGUAAACGACGGUGAGAGAGUAUAUAUCCCGCAUCCAGACCUUCGGCGAACAAGUAGGGGCAGACGGAAGGCCCGACUGCUAGGGCCAUAG